AACAACAGCUUCUUCUGGGGGCAGCUUGAAAUCCUCUAUACAAGGGUCAUUCCCCGGCUGUGACUCAUUUCAGCAAGGAGAGUGUGAGCUGCCUUGCUGCCAGAUAUGAAGGCAUGAGAGAGGAGAAACAUUGAAGCCAUCACACACUUUUCAUCUUCCACUGGGGCUGGCUGCCUUGCAGGAUUGCUGAUGUCAGAGAGCAUCAUUCAGCACUUCCAAACUUCUCACCUGCCAUGAGUGCUCCAUCAGCCAGGGAUUUGCUUAGCACAGGAGCUCUGCAGAAUGUCACUGCACCUGGGCCAGUGAUUCCUGUUGGACAGAGUUGUUACACUGUCUGCCAAAUCCACAUCUCCCCCACUGGCUCCAACACCUGUGAAGGAGCAAGGUGUCAAAGUUAGUUUGGAGCACCAGUUAAAUGGUCAAUGAAGGGAUGUCAGUGCCUGCAUAACAUAAUGAAGAGAUCUAAGCUGAGCAACCGUUUUUUCUCACAGAUUUACAAUUUGUAACAACAUCUGUGGCCUUGCUAUCAAAGAAACCACAAAUGUUUAAAUGAAGUCAAGGACUCUAGACAACUCCUCCAACCUUCCUGAGCAUCUGGAAUCCACAUCUGAAUUUAAAAAAAUGCAAACCACCUUUGAUUUGAAAACUGUUUGAAAAGGUCAGGCUACAAUGGGGAAGUAGCAAAAUAUGCUUUUAUUCUCUCCCAGAAAUCAGCAUGUAUAUUGUUGGAAACAGAGCCAGGUGUGACCUCGGGUCUGAUCCAGGGCAGAUCUUCUUCUGCAUGACCCAGUACUAUCAGCAUUCUCUCACUGGAGAUUUGCUAAAGCUGCAGAGAAAAAAAAUAAGGUCAUGUGAAUUCUGCUUCUCCUUAGAUUUUCACGGUUUCUAUGUAGUUAAGGUGUCAUGAAAUCCUACAGUUCUCCAUGGUCUAGAGAUUUCUCCAGUCACCAUUUGGAGCAGCUCCCUCAGAAGAGCUGUAAUUGACUCUGCAACUCACCAGGCAAGUAUGUGUUAAUCCUGCUUUGCCCAAAUCCUCAAUUAUAGCCCAGAAUGUUUGAUUACGUCUUUCAGCUUUACUUGUUAGUGCUGUGCAAUACUUGUGUUCUGCUUUGUUAGAGGAACACUAAUCUCAUGAAAUGGUUUAAGAUAUUAUUAUUUGUAGCAUUUGUUUGCCAUCUGUAUUAACCUAAAACUAUUUGUGUAACCAUAUCUGAAAAUGAGGGAUAUUAGAAUCUUUUUUACAUGCAAUUUACUGUCAGGAAAAGACUCCAGGACUCAGGGAAAUAAAAUUUUGAUCAACCAGUC